GUUCCGGUGGCCUAAGUAGUCAGAGCGUCUGCCUCGGAUUGCAGGAGGUCGCGGGUUCGAACCCCUCCCAAAGUCA